rnacentral:pre_miRNA from 1 species
AGGAUGGUAGACCGGUGACGUGCGCUUCAUUUAUGCUGUAGGUCACCCGUUUGACUAUCCAU